AGAGUGCGUAAUAGCUCACUAGUCGAGAGGUCCUGCGCCGAAAAUGUCCGGGGCUAAAACACAACACCGAAGCUUAGGAAUUCUUUUGAAUUGGUAGAGGAGCAUUGAAGACGGAACGAAGCCAUACCGAAAGGAAUGGUGGACUGUCUUGAAGAGAGAAUGCCGGAAUGAGUAGCGAGAUUGAAGUGAGAAUCUUCAAGGCCGAAUAUCUAAGGUUUCCAGGGUAAAGCUGAUCUGCCCUGGGUAAGUCGGGGCCUAAGGCAAGGUCGAAAGACGUAGUCGAUGGAUAACAGGUUGAAAUUCCUGUACUGCAUCAAAUCAGAAAUGUGGGGACACAUGAGGGAAGCAUGAGCCGGAAAAGGAAAGUCCGGUACAAGCGCAGCAGAGGACAGAUAGGCAAAACCGUCUGUCAACUCAAGGGCGCGAUGUGGAGCGAACCAAAGUAGCGAAGCAUGUGGAGCUUGUGUCGAGAAAAGCCGCUAUAGUGUUUGAUGUACCCGUACCGUAAACCGACACAGGUGGAUGAGGAGAGAAUCCUAAGGCCGGCGGGAGAAGCAUUGUUAAGGAACUCGGCAAAAUGACCCCGUAACUUCGGGAGAAGGGGUGCUCCAGAGAUGGAGCCGCAGAGAACUGGCCCAAGCAACUGUUUAGCAAAAACACAGGUCUAUGCAAAACCGAAAGGUGAGGUAUAUGGGCUGACGCCUGCCCGGUGCUGGAAGGUUAAGAGGAGAUGUUAGAGCAAUCGAAGCAUUGAAUUUAAGCCCCAGUAAACGGCGGCCGUAACUAUAACGGUCCUAAGGUAGCGAAAUUCCUUGUCGGGUAAGUUCCGACCCGCACGAAAGGCGUAAUGAUUUGGGCACUGUCUCGACAAUGCACCCGGUGAAAUUGAAAUACCAGUGAAGAUGCUGGUUACCUGCGCCAGGACGGAAAGACCCCAUGGAGCUUUACUCUAGCUUGAUACUGGGGUUCGGUAUUGCAUGUACAGGAUAGGUGGGAGACUGAGAAGAUGUGUCGCCAGAUGCAUCAGAGUCGAUGUUGGGAUACCACCCCUGCAGUACUGGGCUUCUAACCUGCAGCCGUGACCCGGCUGGGGGACAAUGUCUGGUGGGGAGUUUGACUGGGGCGGUCGCCUCCGAAAGAGUAUCGGAGGCGCUCAAAGGUUCCCUCAGAAUGGUUGGAAACCAUUCGAAGAGCGCAAAGGCAGAAGGGAGCUUGACUGCGACACCGACGGGUGGAGCAGGUACGAAAGUAGGACUUAGUGAUCCGGUGGUAUGAAAGUGGGAUUGCCAUCGCUCAACGGAUAAAAGCUACCCUGGGGAUAACAGGCUU
rnacentral:rRNA from 1 species